UACGAAGGGGGCUAGCGUUGCUCGGAAUCACUGGGCGUAAAGGGUGCGUAGGCGGGUCUUUUAAGUCAGGGGUGAAAUCUUGGAGCUCAACUCCAGAACUGCCUUUGAUACUGAAGAUCUUGAGUUCGGGAGAGGUGAGUGGAACUGCGAGUGUAGAGGUGAAAUUCGUAGAUAUUCGCAAGAACACCAGUGGCGAAGGCGGCUCACUGGCCCGAUACUGACGCUGAGGCACGAAAGCGUGGGGAGCAAACAGGG
rnacentral:rRNA from 1 species